CUAGCGUUGCUCGGAAUCACUGGGCGUAGAGGGUGCGUAGGCGGGUCUUUAAGUCAGGGGUGAAAUCCUGGAGCUCAACUCCAGAACUGCCUUUGAUACUGAAGAUCUUGAGUUCGGGAGAGGUGAGUGGAACUGCGAGUGUAGAGGUGAAAUUCGUAGAUAUUCGCAAGAACACCAGUGGCGAAGGCGGCUCACUGGCCCGAUACUGACGCUGAGGCACGAAAGCGUGGGGAGCAAACAGG
rnacentral:rRNA from 1 species